AGUGAACGCUGGCGGUAGGCCUAACACAUGCAAGUCGAACGGCAGCACAGUAAGAGCUUGCUCUUACGGGUGGCGAGUGGCGGAUGGGUGAGGAAUACAUCGGAAUCUACUUUUUCGUGGGGGAUAACGUAGGGAAACUUACGCUAAUACCGCAUACGACCUACGGGUGAAAGCAGGGGAUCUUCGGACCUUGCGCGAUUGAAUGAGCCGAUGUCGGAUUAGCUAGUUGGCGGGGUAAAGGCCCACCAAGGCGACGCUCCGUAGCUGGUCUGAGAGGAUGAUCAGCCACACUGGAACUGAGACACGGUCCAGACUCCUACGGGAGGCAGCAGUGGGGAAUAUUGGACAAUGGGCGCAAGCCUGAUCCAGCCAUACCGCGUGGGUGAAGAAGGCCUUCGGGUUGUAAAGCCCUUUUGUUGGGAAAGAAAAGCAGCAGGUUAAUACCCCGCUGUUCUGACGGUACCCAAAGAAUAAGCACCGGCUAACUUCGUG
rnacentral:rRNA from 1 species